UGGAGCUUCCGUGUGAUCGCGAUGUUGCCCUAUAUUAGCACCAGCUCUGCCGUGCCUCGCCUCAAAUGCGGAAUGGAUGGUGGCUCCGCUGUACGAGCCAUCAUUGUCCGCGUGUGCUCGAAUUUCGUCCACCAUUUGUGCACGGGAGUCGCUCCGCUUGAAAGAAGGACUUCGCCGACAGCGGUACUUCGGCUACACAUCGGCUGACAUUUUUACCUUAAGCUCCACAAAAGGCUGUUAGCACUGACCUCGUCAGGGUCACCUGUUGGAUGAGGCAUCCGUGUGCUCGCCGGUCAAGUUCAGAUUAUCGGGUGCACCUGCUCGUGCUUCACCAAGCCCCGCAGGGAGUCGAACACAAGGCCACACCACUGGCAUGACAAUGCAGCCUUACUGCUGCUGCCACCACUGCAUGGACCAUGGCGAACCAACCAGCAUUAUUAUACAAGAAA